rnacentral:rRNA from 1 species
GAUGAACGCUGGCGGCGUGCCUAAUACAUGCAAGUCGAGCGAAUGGAUUAAGAGCUUGCUCUUAUGAAGUUAGCGGCGGACGGGUGAGUAACACGUGGGUAACCUGCCCAUAAGACUGGGAUAACUCCGGGAAACCGGGGCUAAUACCGGAUAACAUUUUGGACCGCAUGGUUCGAAAUUGAAAGGCGGCUUCGGCUGUCACUUAUGGAUGGACCUGCGUCGCAUUAGCUAGUUGGUGAGGUAACGGCUCACCAAGGCAACGAUGCGUAGCCGACCUGAGAGUGGGAUCGGCCACACUGGGACUGAGACACGGCCCAGACUCCUACGGGAGGCAGCAGUAGGGAAUCUUCCGCAAUGGACGAAAGUCUGACGGAGCAACGCCGCGUGAGUGAUGAAGGCUUUCGGGUCGUAAAACUCUGUUGUUAGGGAAGAACAAGUGCUAGUUGAAUAAGCUGGCACCUUGACGGUACCUAACCAGAAAGCCACGGCUAACUACGUGCCAGCAGCCGCCGUAA